rnacentral:rRNA from 1 species
AUUGAACGCUGGCGGCAGGCUUAACACAUGCAAGUCGAGCGGAGCGAGGGUGCUUGCACCUUAGCUUAGCGGCGGACGGGUGAGUAAUGCUUAGGAAUCUGCCUAUUAGUGGGGGACAACAUUCCGAAAGGAAUGCUAAUACCGCAUACGCCCUACGGGGGAAAGCAGGGGGUCUUCGGACCUUGCGCUAAUAGAUGAGCCUAAGUCGGAUUAGCUAGUUGGUGGGGUAAAGGCCUACCAAGGCGACGAUCUGUAGCGGGUCUGAGAGGAUGAUCCGCCACACUGGGACUGAGACACGGCCCAGACUCCUACGGGAGGCAGCAGUGGGGAAUAUUGGACAAUGGGCGGAAGCCUGAUCCAGCCAUGCCGCGUGUGUGAAGAAGGCCUUUUGGUUGUAAAGCACUUUUAGCGAGGAGGAGGCUACUUAGAUUAAUACUCUAGGAUAGUGGACGUUACUCGCAGAAUAAGCACCGGCUAACUCUGUGCCAGCCGCCGCCGUAA